GAUGAACGCUGGCGGCGUGCCUAAUACAUGCAAGUCGAGCGAAUGGAUUAAGAGCUUGCUCUUAUGAAGUUAGCGGCGGACGGGUGAGUAACACGUGGGUAACCUGCCCAUAAGACUGGGAUACUCCGGGAAACCGGGGCUAAUACCGGAUAAUAUUUUGAACUGCAUGGUUCAAAAUUGAAAGGCGGCUUCGGCUGUCACUUAUGGAUGGACCCGCGUCGCAUUAGCUAGUUGGUGAGGUAACGGCUCACCAAGGCAACGAUGGGUAGCCGACCUGAGCGGGGGGUCGGCCACACUGGGACUAGGACCCGGCCCAGACUCCUACGGGAGGCAGCAGUAGGGAAUCUUCCGGAAUGGGCGAAAGUCUAACGGAGCAACGCCGCGUGAGUGAUGAAGGCUUUCGGGUCGUAAAACUCUGUUGUUAGGGAAGAACAAGUGCUAGUUGAAUAAGCUGGCACCUUGACGGUACCUAACCAGAAAGCCACGGCUAACUACGUGCCAGCAGCCGCCGUAA
rnacentral:rRNA from 1 species